rnacentral:rRNA from 1 species
AACGAACGCUGGCGGCAGGCCUAACACAUGCAAGUCGAGCGAGAUCUUCGGAUCUAGCGGCGGACGGGUGAGUAACGUGUGGGAACGUGCCCCUUGGUACGGAAUAGCCCCGGGAAACUGGGAGUAAUACCGUAUGAGCUCUACGGAGGAAAGAUUUAUCGCCAAGGGAUCGGCCCGCGUUGGAUUAGGUAGUUGGUGGGGUAGUGGCCUACCAAGCCGACGAUCCAUAGCUGGUUUGAGAGGGUGAUCAGCCACACUGGGACUGAGACACGGCCCAGACUCCUACGGGAGGCAGCAGUGGGGAAUCUUAGACAAUGGGCGCAAGCCUGAUCUAGCCAUGCCGCGUGAGCGAUGAAGGCCUUAGGGUUGUAAAGCUCUUUCAGCGAGGAAGAUAAUGACUGUACUCGCAGAAGAAGCCCCGGCUAACUCCGUGCCAGCCGCCGCGGUAACAC